rnacentral:rRNA from 1 species
CCUACGGGUGGCAGCAGUGGGGAAUAUUGCACAAUGGGGGAAACCCUGAUGCAGCGACGCCGCGUGAGCGAUGAAGUAUUUCGGUAUGUAAAGCUCUAUCAGCAGGGAAGAAAAUGACGGUACCUGACUAAGAAGCCCCGGCUAACUACGUGCCAGCAGCCGCGGUAAUACGUAGGGGGCAAGCGUUAUCCGGAUUUACUGGGUGUAAAGGGAGCGUAGACGGGUUAGCAAGCCAGAUGUGAAAGGCUGGGGCUCAACCCCAGGACUGCAUUUGGAACUGGCGUGCUGGAGUGUCGGAGAGGCAGGCGGAAUUCCUAGUGUAGCGGUGAAAGGCGUAGAUAUCUGGAGGAACAUCAGUGGCGAAGGCGACUAUCUGGCACAUAACUGACGCUGAGGAGCGAAAGCGUGGGUAGCAAACAGGAUUAGAUACCCCUGUAGUC